rnacentral:antisense_RNA from 1 species
AGAUUACGUAUUGAGGAACCAUAUUCAUUCAGAUAAAGCCACAGACACGAAUUCUCAUGGAAGCCUAUCAAACAUAAACAGAAAGACUCUGGGAUUAUAACAUGGAAAUAGUGAAUUUCUGACUGCAAUUGGUGUUGAAAAAGCUAAGAACCAAGUUUCCCUUAAAUAAUUAGCUCCAUAUUCAAAAGAAUUAAAGUGUAUAUACCAGUACUGAACAGCACACUGGAGUUUUUGUCCAGAAGUUUGACUUUAGAAGAUAAGAAAUAACUGAGCGUACAAGCAGGAGUUAGAGGAAGAGACUCAGUACAGAAGAGACAGGAACAAAAGUUCACCUCCAUUCAAUGGGAAAGGAUACAGAUCAAGAGUUCAGGAAAAGUAGGAGAAAGAAGCUCUAUUCCAGAAGCAGUCUGGAGCACAAAGAAUCCCUAAUCACUGACAUUAAGAAAGAAGAAAAAUAUUCCUAGGACGAUCCUGGAGAGCAAAGGUCAUCAGCAGUCA